rnacentral:rRNA from 1 species
UACGAAGGGGGCUAGCGUUGCUCGGAAUCACUGGGCGUAAAGCGCACGUAGGCGGACUCUUAAGUCAGGGGUGAAAUCCUGGAGCUCAACUCCAGAACUGCCUUUGAUACUGAGAGCCUUGAGUUCGGGAGAGGUGAGUGGAACUGCGAGUGUAGAGGUGAAAUUCGUAGAUAUUCGCAAGAACACCAGUGGCGAAGGCGGCUCACUGGCCCGACACUGACGCUGAGGUGCGAAAGCGUGGGGAGCAAACAGG